UUCAAUUACCUGAGCGCAGGCCCUUUAAAACUCAGCGCAGGGUCAGGGGCAUGAUGGGAGGCCAGGGGCUGAUGGGAGAAGACGUGCUCCGCGCAGGCACGCACGCACGUCAGCUCAAAGCCCCUGACGCAUCCCUGCCUCUGACCCUGUGUUAUCGAUACCAGGCAGAGGAAGGUGCAGCCGCCCGCCUGCCCCACAUUGCUGCAGUGAGAAGAGAAUGAGGAUCUGCUUACAAGCUGAGGAAUCAAUGAUGAAGACCUGGUGCCCGUAUGAGAUGAGAAAGAGAAGACAACAGAGAAGAUGUCACUCAGGCUCUUGGACCAUCUUCAGACAUUCCAGCGAGUUCUUACGCCGUGCUUUUAAUCAGACGCCUUCUAAUUCUGUUCCUAUGUAGAAACAAAAAAAAUCUCACUACAAGGAGCAAAUGAUAAAAGAAGAAUGAGAAAUAAAA